GAUGAACGCUGGCGGCGUGCCUAAUACAUGCAAGUCGAGCGAACAGAUAAGGAGCUUGCUCCUUUGACGUUAGCGGCGGACGGGUGAGUAACACGUGGGUAACCUACCUAUAAGACUGGGAUAACUUCGGAAAACCGGAGCUAAUACCGGAUAAUAUUUCGAACCGCAUGGUUCGAUAGUGAAAGAUGGUUUUGCUAUCACUUAUAGAUGGACCCGCGCCGUAUUAGCUAGUUGGUAAGGUAACGGCUUACCAAGGCGACGAUACGUAGCCGACCUGAGAGGGUGAUCGGCCACACUGGAACUGAGACACGGUCCAGACUCCUACGGGAGGCAGCAGUAGGGAAUCUUCCGCAAUGGGCGAAAGCCUGACGGAGCAACGCCGCGUGAGUGAUGAAGGUCAUCGGAUCGUAAAACUCUGUUAUUAGGGAAGAACAUACGUGUAAGUAACUGUGCACGUCUUGACGGUACCUAAUCAGAAAGCCACGGCUAACUACGUG
rnacentral:rRNA from 1 species